CGUGUAGGCGGUCGGUCAAGUCCGGUGUGAAAGCCCGGGGCUCAGCUCCGGAAGUGCAUCGGAAACUAGCCGACUUGAGCGCGAUAGAGGAGGGUGGAAUUCCUGGUGUAGCGGUGAAAUGCGUAGAUAUCAGGAGGAACACCGGCGGCGAAGGCGGCCCUCUGGAUCGUUGCUGACGCUGAGACGCGAAAGCGUGGGGGAGCAAACAGGAUUAGAUACCCUGGUAGUCCACGCUGUAAACGAUGGGUACUAGGUGUUCGGGGUGUUGACCCCCUGAGUGCCGACGCUAACGCAUUAAGUACCCCGCCUGGGGACUACGGCCGCAAGGCUAAA
rnacentral:rRNA from 1 species